CACACUCAUAUACUAUAUGGCAAAACUGCUUGAACAUAGUUCGUGUGUAGAUUUUGCCAGCAUGUCUUUUAGUUGCGAUGUUUGCUCACGUAAGCGGUCUCUCCUGCAAACAAAAUUAUCACUGAUUGGCUCACAUCAUGGUCCAUGUCAAACAUAUUCAGUUAACUCCACUACGAACUUUCUCAUAGUGAGCUGGAAAGAUAUUUAAACUGCUCAAAGAUCUGUCAUACCGCACACCCACAGACUAUCUUUUGCAUGCAUCUUGUCCGGUCCACAUUUAGCCUGCUCUUCCCUUACCUAAUACUGAAUCCUUUCGCCCACGAAUAUAAAUUGUCAAAAAUCGUACGCCUCACCAAGUGUGUCGAAACUUGUUCCUAUCUUUGCACAAUGACAAAGUCUCCUGGUUUUUCUGCAAAUUGCCGGACUGAUUUCUCCAGGGCUGAGAUCCUGUGAGGGCAAGGAGCUCAGCCUAGUGCGGCAGCGCCAACACGCACUCUAGAAGCCAUGCAAAUUAUUAGCACAUAAUCAUCAGGUUUUACAGUUUAACUAAGCUAUAAACUACUGUUGCUCACAAACAGAAAAAUGCAUCAUGUUUGCAACACAAUUUAGCGAAAUCUAUUAUUCCAGUACUCUUGUGUUUAUUUCUUUUAAAUUAUUUAUGUUUAAUUCUGUACUUGCAAGACAUCUUCUUCCCGGAGCAAUAACAAUAUUUUUAUCCAGGCUUGGUUCUUCUUAUACAAUCCCAACUUCUAAAUAUACACUUACUGCUUUGGCGAACAAUUUAACAAACCAUCUAAAAUGAAUCUAGUCACUUCUGUUUUAUGUAUGUGCACUGCAACUCAAAUCGAGAGGAUACCCCUGAAUUCUUUAAACGCAAAUGAACAGUACUGUAAAAUUAAUCUUCAUACCUUUGCGUCCACCCCGGAGCUUUUGGAUCCACUUGCUCUAUAGAGUGCUCUGAACCUUGACCCUUGUCUGCACUGGCCGGCUCUGGAGCGGCGCCUUCAACACAGAUUUGGCCUUCUGCACUUGAGGCCGCCGGGGCCGGCAGCUCAACCACCGCCGGCGCCAUGACUGGGUAGUGAAGAGGCUCAAUGGUGUUGUUGUUCUCGUUAACCUUCUCUAGCAGUGUUGUGGUACUUCCGCAAAAAUAUUCAGUAGACAAAAUCAAAUCAUUGCUAAAAACUUAAUCCAAAACCGUGCCAAACGGAGCCACAGCGAGCAGAUUCUAAC
rnacentral:lncRNA from 1 species